UACGGGGGGGGCAAGCGUUGUUCGGAAUUACUGGGCGUAAAGGGUGCGUAGGCGGCUUGCUAAGUCAGGGGUGAAAUCCUGGAGCUCAACUCCAGAACUGCCUUUGAUACUGGCGAUCUUGAGUUCGGGAGAGGUGAGUGGAACUCCGAGUGUAGAGGUGAAAUUCGUAGAUAUUCGGAAGAACACCAGUGGCGAAGGCGGCUCACUGGCCCGAUACUGACGCUGAGGUGCGAAAGCGUGGGGAGCAAACAGG
rnacentral:rRNA from 1 species